rnacentral:rRNA from 1 species
UUCAAUUGAAGAGUUUGAUCUUGGCUCAGAUUGAACGCUGGCGGUAUGCUUAACACAUGCAAGUCGAACGGUAACAGGCUCUUCGGAGUGCUGACGAGUGGCG